rnacentral:rRNA from 1 species
CAGUAGCCGCGGUAAAACGGAGGGUGCAAGCGUUAAUCGGAAUUACUGGGCGUAAAGCGUGCGUAGGCGGUUCGUUAAGUCUGUUGUGAAAGCCCCGGGCUCAACCUGGGAAUGGCAAUGGAUACUGGCGAGCUAGAGUGUGUCAGAGGAUGGUGGAAUUCCCGGUGUAGCGGUGAAAUGCGUAGAGAUCGGGAGGAACAUCAGUGGCGAAGGCGGCCAUCUGGGACAACACUGACGCUGAGGCACGAAAGCGUGGGGAGCAAACAGGAUUAGAUACCCGGGUAGUCCCUGUCUCUUAUAC